CUGCGAGCAAAUGAGUGCAGUAACCUGAGCGAGUGCUUUGGGGAAUUGGCAGGAAUAAACCCCAUUUACUCAGCUCGCCAAGCUCAACCCCUUGUUGGAGGGAGCACAUAAGUGAGGGAGUGUGCGAUCUGACUGACCAUUUUUGGGUGCUGGCAGGUGCAAACUCGGUGUGGGCCACGCGGCAAUGACCUUGUGGGGGUUCCUGCGACCCCUGAAGCCACAGAAGUCACGUUACAAUGAUCUUUCUGCUCUGCCCUCCGCAGAUGGCUUAAGUGUUAAUAGCUCAGUGGGAGGGCAAAGAGCCAAUGUGAAAGCCUUCUUUUGGGUAUCAGCACUCACGGCUCUCUACCUCUUGUCCUGCGUCUAGGAAAAAUGAGUUUGCACGAACAAAUUGAAGGAUGGCGAACAUGGAGGAUUUUAUUGAACUAUGAAAGUGGCUCUCCGUGGGCAGGGGAGCUAAAAAGGCGACGGGACAGGCAGGUGCAAAGUUAGAUUGCUCAUUUGAGACCUGUCUGACUUAUCCAUGAAGACACUUAGGGCUAUAAACUUUCCUCUUAAGACUACUUUGGCUGCAUCUCAGAGAUUUGAUUAACCACCAGAGAAAAACACAUUUCCUGUCGUUUCUCCAAUCAGACCCGAAGUAUCGGAACAGAUAUGAACAAUUCUCCUUUUUUUUUUUUCCCAGACAGCAAUUUAGAAUAAUUAGGGUAAUUUAUACAUAAGGCUCUGGCCCAGACCUUAUAUAAUAGAUCUUGGAAAUGACCAUUAUCUUAAAGGUGACAUUUAAAUUAAAAACAGUGGCAGUGAGCAUAAAGUUUGAAAGCACAGGCUGUGCAGUCAUGCAUAGUGGCUCUGUUAGGAAUUUGUCUCUCCCACUACAUGUUUUGUAGCUUUAGAAAAGUUAUUAAUGUCCCUAAGCCUCCAUUUGCAAAACUGGAAUGAAUAUGAAAAGAUUGUUGAGAGAAAUACAAAUUUAAUCCAUAUAAAACCCUUUGUAUGAUAUCUGAAAUAGAAUAAGAAGAUAAAUAUUUCUUAUUAUUAAGCUGCCUUUGAAAUAAUUGCCUCGAAUGACACUGAGCCUGUGAUCUGAAUUUAGGUUUGCUGUAUACAUGUCUUAGAGGCAACUCUAAACUGAAAAAUAAAAAUGAGUAAAUCUGCAACAUCAAAUCUUUGAGCAUUUCUAUUGAUUUCAGUUUGGUAUGCUUAUGAAACUUUAGCUUACAAGCCACUUCCAGUGAAUGCUACUCUCAACUAAUGAUGUCAUCAUCGCAUUUCUUUAUCCUCUCACACCUGCAAGUUUUGCUUCCAAGCUAAACACCCACACUAUCUGCUGC
rnacentral:lncRNA from 1 species